rnacentral:misc_RNA from 1 species
AACGCACGAGACCUGCGGACCUGCGGAAGGAUCAUUAAUGAGAAGCUGCCCCUCGUGGGUAGACCUCCCACCCUCUGUGAACUUACCUUUGUUGCUUUGGCAGGCCCGUCCUCUGGACCGCCGGCUUCGGCUGGCCCGUGCCAGCCAGAGGAUUCCAAACCCUGUCUGUCAGUGUUGUCUGAGUCUAUAUGAAAUCGUUAAAACUUUUAACAACGGAUCUCUAGAUCGGAAGAGCACACG